rnacentral:lncRNA from 1 species
GCUCCUGCUGUCUGGAAGAGGCAGAAACCUUGCCACAUCUUUUCGUCAAUGGACCGGUGGCAAGAGAGGUUUGGGGGCAUUUUGCCGGUAUGUUUGGCAUUCUUCACUUGCCGUCGGAUGAUAUUCAGCUCAUGUGGAGGGAGUGGGCCACAUCGUUGACACGCAUCCCCAAUCAUCAUAUUCGAUGUGUACUCCCGCUAGUGGUUACAUGGUUCAUAUGGCAGGGAAGAAAUAAGGCGAGGUUUGAAGGACAGGCUUUUUCGGCUCGGGAGGUCAUUGUUGAGGUGAGCAAUUUCUUGCAUGACUUGGGACGAGCAAAAAAGUUGG